rnacentral:rRNA from 1 species
UACAGAGGGUGCAAGCGUUAAUCGGAAUUACUGGGCGUAAAGCGUGCGUAGACGGUUAUUUAAGUCAGGUGUGAAAGCCCCGGGCUCAACCUGGGAAUUGCAUUUGAGACUGAAUAGCUAGGGUACGGUAGAGGGAAGCGGAAUUUCCGGUGUAGCGGUGAAAUGCGUAGAUAUCGGAAGGAACACCAGUGGCGAAAGCGGCUUCCUGGUCCAGCACCGACGUUCAGGCACGAAAGCGUGGGGAGCAAACAGG